AGGGGAUAAAGGGUUACAUGGUGAAGAGAGAAAGUUGGCACAGCUAAGCAGACCAAGUGGGCUUCCUGGAGGAAGGGGCAUUCGAUUGAGAUUUGAAAGCUUUUUUUUUUUUUUUUAAAUUAUUUGACUGCACCGGGUCUUAGUUGUGGCAUGAGAACUCUGAGUUGUGGCAUGUGGGAUCUAGUUCCCUGACCAGGGAUCAAACCCAGGCCUCCUAAAUUGGGAGCGAGGAGUAUUAGCCACUGGACUACCAGGGAGGUCCCAGAUUUUUUUUUUUAAAUCUUGAGUGUUGAAAGGGAAGCAAGGUCGAGUGAAGUCCCUGACAGAAGGGGCAGCUGAGGUGAAGCAGGUGAGACCUGGACUGUGUCGAUCAGACCUAGUUGGGAUCCCAUUGCUAAGGAUGGACCAUGUGGCUUUGUGGAGGUGCCUUCUCCUCCGAACAUAUUUCCUCACUGGAAGAGAAGAAAGACUGUGAAGAUACUGAAACAACACGUGUGAAACAGCCACCCAACCCUGUGGGUGCUGCUCCUGUCUGGCUUACUCCGGUCUGACUCUAGUGGUGGCCUGGCGGGCGCUCCAGGCAGGUGGUGACACUCCUGUGUCUCUGGUUUGAAGGGAAUCAUUAGACAUCAAAUGAACACUCCUUAGGAAGAGAUAAAUGUUGUCCUCUGUCAGAGCCGUGGCCCUGUCACCAGGGCAGGUGACCAGGACUGCACAACCAACAGCCCAGGCUCUGCGGUUCCAGCUCUGCGUCCCGGCUGCUCUCCAGCAGGAAAGGAGGCCAAGGCCUGUGCCCACUUCACACAGAGCACCUCAGGGCCUCGCCCUGGGGUUCCUGCCAAAGAGUCCUUCUUGCAUCACACCUGGAGGCCACCCCAGCCAGCAAGUCCAUCAGGAGGAAUAACACGUUCAGUCAACAGGCACCUGCUUACACAUUUUCUACUCAGAGAUAACUGCUCAGUCAGAGCUCUUCAGACCUCAAAGUGGCCCGGGGCCUGGGUCUGGUGGGGAGGUGCUGCUUUGGCAACACAGAAGCCUCUGCUGCCUCUGGGAGCUGAGCCCACACCUUUCCUUCAAUCUGCAGGUGGUUUCAGAGAACAGACUUCUGGCAUCCAGUCCAGGCCAGUAGCAGAGGCUGUUGGGAUUCCGAAUCAGGAAAUGGGGCAAGAAGAUGGAGGAGCUGUCACAGCCCAGGGCCGAGUGAGGACACCAGAGUGCCAGCGUGUAGCACACUCGCUGCUGCCCUGGGGCCAAGGAAGUACAUCCUGUGUGGGCAGUCCUGCCAGCCACAGCAAGCCACCUGGAUUCAUGCCCAGUUAGGGACAUGGGUCUGGAUCACCCCAGCUGUCCUGGCCACCCAAGUCAAGUAAAUGAGAUUUGGGUAAUUUAAAAUCAGAUUUGGAUGCCUACUAAACCAAGAUUCUCUCUCAGGGGAUAGAACUGGGGCUGGAGGCAAGAGACCAAAUGAGGCUUUGUGCCUCCUCUGCAAUGUCCCAUCUUAUUUUUUAUUUUCUCAAGAAAAAUGUAUUCAUGGGUAAGAAUGUAUUCAUACCCAACUACUUGGGUAGUAAUAAAAAGAAACUUAAAAAAAAAAAAAGAU
ensembl:lncRNA